rfam:Solanum tuberosum cultivar DM 1-3 516 R44 scf00087_51, whole genome shotgun sequence.
AUGGAAUUGUGAUGUUGGAAUGGCUCAAUCUAAUAAAAGUUUCCAAACAUUUUUGGUUAUUUUAAUUUGAUUGAGCCGUGCCAAUAUCAUAUUUUCUUUG